rnacentral:lncRNA from 1 species
UUUUUUUUUUUUUUUUGAGACAGAGUCUUGCUCUGUUGCCCAGGCUGGAGUGCAGUGAUGCAAUCUCGGCUCACUGCAACUUCCGCCUCCCGGGUUCACGCCAUUCUCCUGCCUCAGCCUCCCGAGUAGCUGGGACUACUGGCGCCUGUGACCGUGCCCGGCUAAUUUUUUCAUAUUUUUAAAAAUAGAGACGGGGUUUCACCGUGUUCGCCAGGAUGGUCUCAAUCUUCUGACCUUGUGAUCCGCCUGCCUCGGCCUCCCAAAGUGCUGGGAUUACAGGCGUGAGCUACCGCGCCCGGCCCUUAAUUACCUUUUUUUUUUUAAACUGAAAAGUGAUCACUUCGGGAGAAUGUAUUUCCUACUGGCUGUGCCCUCCUUGGCUUCCCCCACGGCAUUGGGCAAGUAUCUGGUUGGGCCACUACACUUCAGUGCAGAGCCUGGAGCCAGAAGGGAGGCCCUGCCAUUGGUCAGCAGGGCAGCUCUCCUCACAGCUUCAUUUGGAUAAGAGUUGCAGACAAGCUCAACGGUUUAAGGGAACCAGGUUUGGAGAUGUUAGACGGGGAAUGGGCUAGCUCAGAAUCUAUCGGAAUAAUAUGACACUGUUACAGCCUGGGUUGAAUUAUGUUCCCCAAAAGAGUAUAUCCUGGCCCCCAAACCUGUGAAUGUGGCCUUAUUUGGGAAUGGAGUCUUUGCAGAUGUAAUCAAGUUAGGAUAAAGUCAUACUCAACUAGAGUGGUCCCUAAUCCAAUGACUGAUGUCCCUAUAAGAAGAGGAAAGUUGGGACACAAAUACACAGGGAAAAGACCUCAUAAGAUGGAGGUAGAGGCCGGGCGUGGUGGCUCAAGCCUGUAAUCCCAAAUUGUAAGAGAAUAGAUUUCUGUCAUUUUAAGCCACAGUUGGUGGUACUAACACCGGCACCUUCUCCUCUGCCAGAAAGAAUGAUUCACGUGAUGGGAUAAAAAUGACUGGCGAAUUCCCAACCUUUCCCACCCCCGUGGUCCCUAAUGAGGGUCCUGGUUACCCUCUCCUCAGCUCCUCCUGGAGCCC